AGUCUUGAGAAGCAAGACAGUGGCACUGGUGAAAGUACUAUGGAGGAACAGUAAAGUAGAAGAGGCAACUUGGGAACUCGAGACGGAUAUGCAGCAGAAAUAUCCGGAGUUGUUCAGGUAAAUUUCGGGACGAAAUUUCUAUAAGGAGGGGGUAAUUGUAAUACCCGGAAUUAAGAAAUGGAUUAGCAAAACCCUAACUAGAUAAUUAUGUAUAAUUGAGGAAAUUAUAUUAUUAUAUAAUUUAAUAUAUGUGAUUUUAUAUGAAUUUUAAUAUAUUAAAGACCCCGUUGGUGAGCCAGGGGCAUUUUGGUAAUUAUGACCCGAGAAGGGUAAAUUGUUGAGAUUAAAUUAAUUACGUGCUUAAUAGAACUAUAUUAUUAUAUAGUAUACCUGUGUUGUCUUUUCAGGUGUGUUCUGACAGGUUAGCGCGGUAUAGUCACAACCGGGAAUUUCGGGCCGAACCGGGUUCGGGCCCGAAAUGUAAAUUGGAUUGAUAAUUUGGCAUUUUAUUUGAUGAAUGAUAAUCUGAAAUUUAUUUGAAAUUAAUUGAGUAUUGAAAUGACUUAUUUACCCUUGUGAGGGUGUAGGUGUGAAUAAUAAGCCAUGAGGGCAUUUUGGUCAUUUCACCCCUAAUUAUUAUGUUUGAUUAAAAUUGAUUUUUGAUGAAAUGAAAAGCAAUUUUCUGGUUUUGCUUUCCUCUUGGCCGACCCCCUCUCUCUCCCAAACCCUCUUAUUAUAUGAAAGUUGAAUUUGAAGAAAAGCUUGGUUCUUAGCUUGUUUUGGAGCUUUGAAGUUGUGAAUUCUUGGUUUGAGUUUGAGGAUUACCGGCACCUGGUCAGGAGCACCCGGGGAUUUGGAAUCUCUACUAUUGCGGGACAACAGGAAAGGGUAAGGCAUUAGCUGAUCAGCCAUGAGUUUCAGGAGCAGGGCGAAGAAUGUACAUGUUCAUGCCACUUCAGACCAAGCGGGUUAUGGGUCUAAUAGUGUUGACUUUUGUAUUCUGUUUUGCCGCUUAGGUCGGCUAGUAAGAAAGAACUUGUAAUAAGUUUGUAAAUAUUUUUGGGAUCCCAACUAUUUUGAAAAGUUUUAAAUAUAUUACAAGUUUAUUUUCA